AGGAUUUGACGUGGGGAGUACCGGUCCAGAGAUGGACUUUCCCGCAAGGGGCUCCCGCAC
rnacentral:rRNA from 1 species